CGGGGGGGGCAAGCGUUGUUCGGAAUUACUGGGCGUAAAGGGCUCGUAGGUGGCCAACUAAGUCAGACGUGAAAUCCCCAGGCUCAACUUGGGAACUGCGUCUGAUACUGGAUGGCUUGAAUUCGGGAGAGGGAUGCAGAAUUCCAGGUGUAGCGGUGAAAUGCGUAGAUAUCUAGAGGAAUACCGGUGGCGAAGGCGGCAUCCUGGACCGAGAUUGACACUGAUGAGCGAAAGCCAGGGGAGCAAACGGGAUUAGAUACCCCGGUAGUCCUGGCCCUAAACGAUGAAUGCUUGGUGUGACGGGUAUCGAUCCCUGUCGUGCCGAAGCUAACGCAUUAAGCAUUCCGCCUGGGGAGUACGGUCGCAAGGCUG
rnacentral:rRNA from 1 species